AACGAACGCUGGCGGCGCGCCUAAUACAUGCAAGUCGAGCGAGAAGACGUAGCAAUACGUUUGUAAAGCGGCGAACGGGUGAGGAAUACAUGGGUAACCUACCCUCGAGUGGGGAAUAACUAGCCGAAAGGUUAGCUAAUACCGCGUACGCUCCUUGGACUUCGGUUCAGGGAGGAAAGCGAUACCGUGGGUAUCGCGCUCUUGGAUGGGCCCAUGUCCUAUCAGCUUGUUGGUGAGGAACGGCUCACCAAGGCUUCGACGGGUAGCUGGUCUGAGAGGACGAUCAGCCACACUGGCACUGCGACACGGGCCAGACUCCUACGGGAGGCAGCAGUAAGGAAUAUUGCGCAAUGGGCGAAAGCCUGACGCAGCGACGCCGCGUGGGGGA
rnacentral:rRNA from 1 species